UACGUAGGGUGCAAGCGUUACUCGGAAUUACUGGGCGUAAAGCGUGCGCAGGCGGCUUUGCAAGACAGAUGUGAAAUCCCCGGGCUCAACCUGGGAACUGCAUUUGUGACUGCAUCGCUCGAGUGUGGCAGAGGGGGAUGGAAUUCCGCGUGUAGCAGUGAAAUGCGUAGAUAUGCGGAGGAACACCGAUGGCGAAGGCAAUCCCCUGGGCCUGCACUGACGCUCAUGCACGAAAGCGUGGGGAGCGAACAGG
rnacentral:rRNA from 1 species